CAAAUUCCCAAUCCAAGUCUGACAGUUCCCAAAGGAAGAAUGAUCCAAUUCCUAGCAGCAAACUCCACCAAAUUGAGUAAUCAAUUUCUCAUUCCCAAAUCCAAAAGCUUGCAAACCCUUUUCCUCCCUUCCUAAUUCUGUUCACCGUAACCAAGUCCAAAAGCUUAAUGCCAGUGGUUCUUCUUCUGCCAAGUUUGACCGUUGUUCGGGUUCUGCGCCUACUUCCGACUUCCUGCUCUGGUCAGCAAACAGCAGGGAAGAAAAUUCGGCUUCACAAGUUCGCCCGGUAAGUGGUUUAUGUUCUAGUUCAUUGCUGGGUUUUUUUUUUUUUUGAUGGGGGANNNNNNNNNNNNNNNNNNNNNNNNNNNNNNNNNNNNNNNNNNNNNNNNNNNNNNNNNNNNNNNNNNNNNNNNNNNNNNNNNNNNNNNNNNNNUAUUUUUUUUUUCUAUUUUGUUGGCUAUCUUCUAGUUGAUUUGUUGAAUAAAUAAUAAUGAAUGUUGUUAAACUUUUUAUCUCAUGUCUGUAAAUUGUGUUCAUUUUUAAUUUGUUAUUACUUAUUAGUCUUAUAAAUAUUGAGUUAUAAUAUUUUAUGAAUUAUGAUUUAUGUUUUGACAGUUUUGUGACUUGCAAGUUAUUAUGGAAAAUUGUGAUUGUGAUUUAUGAUAAGUAAUUUAUGCUUUAUGAGCAUGAAUUACGAUUAUCGAUUUGGUAAUUUAUAUUUAGGAAAUUGAAAAAAUUUAAUUGAGAAGAUGUUGGUCACUCAAUUCAACAUAUUUUCAUAUGUAUAUAAUUUUGACGUUUUAGUUUAUUUACAUAUAUAUUGAAUAAUUUUUAGUAUUAUUUAAUCAAAUUUUAAUAAACGAUCGGAUUAUUACGAUGUUAAUUAUCGAUGGUUAACGGUCAAUAAUUAACCUCCGUCCUAGCUGGACUUCGAUCUUGAAUUGGUCUCUGGGUGGGGGUGGCGUGAGGUGGGGCUAAAACAAUGGAUUGGUGGCAAUACCUUAGUUGGCCAUUGACAUGAGGUGGGACCAAACACCAUAACACUACUUCUUACUUUCCCUAUUGUAAUAUUUCAAUUCAAACCCCCUUUUUUUUUUUUUUUUUUUCAUUUGCGAAGAGAAUAAGUAAUCUUUAUGUUUCUGUCACCUCUUUACAUCAUUAAAUCCAUUCUAUUUCUAUAAGGGCUGUAACCAGUAACACUCAUUCAAAAUCACCGCUCAAACUUUUCAACUUUCUGCCUUCUUAAAUUAUUAUACGAUAUACCACAAGAAAAUUUGCUUCUCAUUUCUUGAAAACUCUCUCUCCUCUCUCUAGAAUCUGAUGCACGCAGUACACCAUUCUGAUUCAGAACCCUCAAAAAUAAGCCACAUCAAUUGCAUAUUCUAGCUUUGCAUAAUGAGUAAUUGCUGUAGAAAUCAAUUUCUUCUUCUUCUUUGGUUGUUGCUGCUGUUCAUCUUCAUCACUGUUCAUUGCAAUUGCUCAAGAACCACCCGUGUAUUCAAAAUCAAACCCAAAUCUCAAAAUUCAGGCCAUUUUAUGAACUGCUUACCGAAAAGGAUCCCUGUGCCAGCCUCAAGUCCAUCCAGAAAACACAAUGAAAUUGGGCUACAGUCUUGGAGAUUACCUUGAAGAUAUAUUACAGAUCAGAUAUGAAGACAAUUUUUCUUUUGUGAAACGAAAAAGGUGAAACAAGAAAUGACACUCUUUACAUACUUUAGAGCCGCGGAAAAAUUGGGAAUUGAUAUUGUGUAUAUACGUGGAUUUGUUUAUUGGUCUCCUUUUUCUUUUCCUUUGCUUUGCUAACAAGGUUUUGCACUACAUUUUUUCUUCUGGACAAAGCACUUGCUUUGGAUCUUCUACUAAAUGUAGCAAUGACGUUGCGAACAAAAUGACUCCGUAGUGGAUCCA
rnacentral:lncRNA from 1 species